UAAAAAUAGAAAGUACAACUUCAAAAAUUUAUUAUUAUCACCCAAAACGACCUUUCAAAAUUCAAUAAAACGAUAUAUAGUAGCUUCAAUCACGCUCCCAAAAUCUCUCUCUCUCAUUCACAUUUAAAACCAGCGAUGAAAGAAGAAGAACAAGAAGCCGAUAACGAACUCGGCCUCGAAACCGGCGGCGCGGCUCUGGUUUCUCUGGCGCCGUUUUCUUCGACUCCUGCGCGUCGGCUCUCGAGUAACUUUGCUCAGCCGAGCCGUCCGAUCCUCUCGGCUAAGCGGCUCGCAUGGGUGUCACUCCAGGGGCGGCUCGUCAACGCCGAGGAAGCCAGCUCGGCUAAAACUGUCGGCUUGAGCCGAGCCGAAGCCGUGGCUUGGGAGCUCUUUACUCCUGUCCAGAGGUUCCUCAUCGUUGCCGUGAUCGGCGUCGCCGUCGCCGAGUCGAAGAAGAACCGGCUCAUUUGGCAGCUCACAGAAGCUGUGGAACUUAGGGAUCAGGUACUUUCAAGCAUGCAACAGAAGCUUGACAAUCUGUGCAAGCUUGGCAAUCAGGGAGAGCAGAAUCAGGUGUUUUCAAGCAUGCAACAGAAGCUUGACAAAAUGUGUGAGGAGGUUGAUAUUGUUAGGGACCACUCAGAUGGUGGGGUUGAAACUACAUUCAUCAAGAAGGCAGAUUCACCAUGUGAAGAAGCAUUCGGCUCUGACGCAGUUAAAUUCGUUGAUUGCGGCUGUUGGCUCUGUGAUAAACAUCGUGACUUGGAGGAUAACUCUCUAAGGAAAUCUUCAACUGGGGAUGAGAUAAUUCAAUAUAAAAUGUCAUUCUCAAAUGAUGCUGAACCAGAAGAGCGUCGGAUGUCUGAUUUGUCAGAUUGGGCUUCAAGUGUCACAUCUGCUGCUGACAUUCAGAUGAACACAUUGGCAGUAGAACAAGACAUUUACAACCUCAAGAGGGACUGUGAAGAGAAGGAUGCCACCAUAAAGAAGCUAUCCACUUUGCUCCAAUCAUCUGAUGUUGCUGGUUCAAAGAGGAUUUCAGAGUUAGAAGAAAUUAUACGUAGGAAGAACAUGAUAAUCACAAGACUGAAGAAGGACAUGGUGGUCCUAGAACAAAAGGUGGUUCACUUCACAAGGCUUCGGAGAUCUUCCUUCUCUGCCUCAGACUCAACCAGUGAGAAACUUCCAUGCAUGACAGAUAAUCUCCUUUAUGAUAUGGAUAGUACUACUAGCCCUUCAUCUUCUGAUUCAGAUUGCUCCUCUGCAAACCGGUCACAUGCUCGUGUUGCUAAAAUUGAAGAAAUUUCUGUUAAGAAUAGCAACUGUGCUUCUACAAGAAAUCAGAUGUCAGUGCCAACAAAGCCUUCUGGUUCCAUUGUGAGACCAACUGAUUGGCGCUCAAAAUCUCGAUCAGUGAGUCCGCUUAAAGAAAUAUCUACAAAUUGGAAAUCUGAUGCAAUGUCUUCUUCAAGGCAAAAGCAGUUAGCUGGUGGAGACUCAAGAAAGAGUAAAAGGCGACACCUAGCUGGAUCUAAGGAUGCAACUCCUCAAAAGAGAUGGACAUAAAAUGUGAUCGGAUUUGGUCUGAACAUGUGAACUUGUCCCUUCUCAUUUCUGCGUAGUUGGACAUUUCAAUUCCCUCUGGGCCUCUGCAAUGAUUUAAUAUUGUUGAAUGCAGGAUAUGUGAGUUAAGUAUUCAAAUAUAUCUGCAAUUUGGUGAGAAGAUGCUUCGCAUUUUCAACCUAAAGCUUGGGACAUAUGCUAGUAUAUAUAGGAGCAUUUCUGUCUUUUUUUUAGUGAUCAUAUUGCUGUUGACUUUAUAUAUUUGUAGAAAUACGGUACCUUCUGGAUAUAAUAGUUUAGAGGGAUAAUUGGAAAAAUAAUCUUUUGGGACCAAACUUCUGUUUUGGAUGUAUGUGAAGAUGCUUU